GUCCUACUGGUAGUAUUCAUAUUUCUUGAGAAAAAUAUGAUUGCUACAGAAAAAAUAUGCAUGUGCAGGAUGUCACACCUAUGGACACUUUGGCCCGGCCGCUAACUGUGGGUCUCACGUAGCCUAUUCCUGGAUCCAUCCAUGCCCCUAAGCACACAUUAGCUUGUGCCGAAAAAAUAUUACAUUUUCUAGAUCUCUCUAUUAUAUUAUCUUGAAUCUACGUAGAAUCGAUUAGUAGAUUGAAAUAGUAGUCUAAUUCAACUGCUUUUUUCACUGCAUCCACUUAAUUUUUUCAUUGAAAGAAUCCAUGGAGGGGAAGAGAAAUAAUACGCGAAUAGACUAUAGUAAAAGAAACAAGUAAAAGGAAAAAACCUACGAGUCUUUCAUGCUUAAAAAUGGUGCGAGAUGCUUCAAUUCAGAUCUUUCGAAAAAAAAGAACAUAAAAUUUUUUCUAAGAAUAAGAAAAUAGUAUAAAUGGAAAAUGUGCGAUUUGUUGUGAAUAGCUUUGUGUAAGAAAGUUUAAUUUUCUUAUGUAUAGAAUUUCUCUUUACUCGCCACUUCUUUAUACCCCG
rnacentral:lncRNA from 1 species